rnacentral:rRNA from 1 species
UGAGGAACAUGACUUUUGGCGGGGGAUAGCCGGCCCAACGGCCGGGUAAUACCGCGUACGACCUUUUGGGGACAUCCCCGAUUGGUGAAAGCAGCAAUGCGCCGAAAGAGUGCCUCGCGGCCUAUCAGCUAGUUGGUGGGGUAAUGGCUCACCAAGGCGACGACGGGUAGCUGGCCUGAGAGGAUGGCCAGCCACAUUGGAACUGAGACACGGCCCAGACUCCUACGGGAGCAG